GCGCUAGCGACAGCAGGCGCUGGUUUAGUCCACUGAUCUCUAUGUAUAAAGCGGGCUAGAUCUUGAACUUUUCGCUAUCCCGUAACGCUUGCUAAACGCUCGUGCUCCCCGGUUGACGGCCAAUGCGCGUGACGGAAUGAGCGCGCAAAUUUUGAAAAAUAGCUAUAACGAUCGCUAUGUGCACAUCAAGAUUGAGCCCCUGGUAUAAAGGCUGGAUAGCGGAUGGGUGAGGGUAUCGCGGGAAAGGGGAAAGGGUACGACCACCGGCCGCCAUAUUGCGGUGCUCAAAAGAGCGAUUACAGCCCAUAGGAAUGCAUGUAAGCUGUGACAAGUUUUGCUGUUUGUGAGCGCUUCCCUUGCUGCUUCGCUAAAAUUUUGCCACGGAUCGCUGCAGAAAUCCCUCGUGAUUGAGUUCCUUACGUUUUUUGUGUGAAAUCCCGUCACAUACAUGUUAUUUCCUGUCUAUUUUGUACUCGAAUGAGCGCGUGUCGUUCCAAUCUUGUACUUUGAACUACGAUUAUGUGAUUUGCUGGUUUUGUGUGGUGUUGUAUUUGUUGUGUUACGUUUCCUUUGUCGUCCGUCAGCGUGUUGCUUCCCGUGUUUCUCCCAUUUCCUUUCUGCUCGGGGGUGCGGAAUGCCAGGGAAUGUUUGGCACGUUUGUUUAUGUAACUACCUUAAUAUGCUUGGGUAUAAACAUUAUGCUUUGCACAGGAAGUUUAGAUAUGACUGGUUAUGACACGAAAUGCCGAACGGCACUGAAGCACUUCCAAAGGACUAGAAUGAUACGUGAUAUAAAGGCUAUAUGACGGUAAAAACAUACCGACUAGAAAUAUGUGCACUGGGGAAAUAAAUGGUGGUAAAGACAGUUCAAAAUGACUAGAGGUAGAGUGAAUAAGUCAUAAAAAGGCUAAGUAGCAAGGUCUUGUGGUGAAAGUUCCAACAUCAAAGUAUCACAAGUCCAGUUGCAACAGCAAGUUUGAAGCAGUCAAGCAGCUGAGGUCUGGCUGUCACCUUCUCUGUAUAUUCUUUGGCAAGGUGGUACAGUCCGAUACUGCUGUAGCACUGGGAAACUUCUUUGAUCAGACGGAUCACAUUGUUUUCAUUUGGGCUGCAUUCAAACAUGUGUUGUCGCAAGCUUAAGCAGCGAGAAUAAAGAGUAGACAUUCGA